GGGGACGCUUUGCGUGUGUGCCGCUGUCGGUGGUGCUGGUUUUGCUCGCCUCCUGCUUGUGGCUCCUGCUCUCCUCGAGCGCGAGGUGCUUCUGCCUGUGUCGCACGUCGUUGUGGCUUUACGGGCAUGGAGCUGCGAGUCGAUCCCUUUCCCGGAUAGGCGUUUCCACGCCUCAUCGGUCUCGGCGCUGUUUUUGAGCAACGCACGCAUCUUUUUCACUUUGUCGCGUGAUACCACAAUCUGCCGGUCGCGACCGGCAGAUUCUGGUAUCCCAUUUUUCCGGUAAAAAGCUAUGUGCGUUGAAUGGACUGCACCCGAUGCUUGUUAGGCUUGUUAUCCGACUCCCUCUGCUGGCUAUCUGUCUGCACCCGAUCUGGAUGAAAGCCGCCAAAACCUGGUCAAACGGUAAAUAACGGGGACUUUGGUUUAAAGUACUGUCCUCGAUCUACGGGCAAAUCCACCAUGGCUGACGAAUCUCACGCACGCACUUACACACUCCCUGAGCCAGAAUCAAACUCUAAAAUCGGAAUUACUGGGCGUAAAGCGCACGCACGCGGUCUGUCAAGUCUGAAGUGAAAUCCCCGGGCUCACCUGGGAACUGCAUUCGAAACUGGCAGGCUUGGAGUCUUGUAGAGGGGGGUAGAAUUCCGGUGUAGCGGUGAAAUGCUAUAGAUCUGGAAGAAUACUGGUGGCGAAGGCGGCCCCUGGACAAAGACUGACGCUCAGGUGCGAAAGCGUGGGGGAGCAAACACGAUUAAAUACCCUGGGUAGUCCCCCCAAACCAAUGUCAUUGGGGUGUGCCUUGAGGGUGGCUUCGGACUACCCUUA
rnacentral:rRNA from 1 species